rnacentral:rRNA from 1 species
GACGUAGGAUGCAAGCGUUGUCCGGAUUUAUUGGGCGUAAAGAGUUCGUAGGUGGUUUGUUAAGUCUGAUGUUAAAGACUGGGGCUCAACCUCGGAAAUGCAUUGGAUACUGGCAGACUCGAGUGUGGUAGAGGCAAUCGGAAUUCCAGGUGUAGCGGUGAAAUGCGCAGAUAUCAGGAGGAACACCGAUGGCGAAGGCGGCUCACUGGACCGGUAUUGACGCUGAGGUGCGAAAGCGUGGGGAGCAAACAGG